CGUACACUCCUGCGGGAGGCAGCAGUGGGGAAUAUUGCACAAUGGGCGCAAGCCUGAUGCAGCCAUGCCGCGUGUAUGAAGAAGGCCUUCGGGUUGUAAAGUACUUUCAGCGGGUAGGAAGGCAAUACGGUUAAUAACCGUGUUGAUUGACGUUACCCGCAGAAGAAGCACCGGCUAACUCCGUGCCAGCAGCCGCGGUAAUACGGAGGGUGCAAGCGUUAAUCGGAAUUACUGGGCGUAAAGCGCACGCAGGCGGUCUGUCAAGUCGGAUGUGAAAUCCCCGGGCUCAACCUGGGAACUGCAUUCGAAAAUGGCAGGCUUGAGUCUUGUAGAGGGGGGUAGAAUUCCAGGUGUAGCGGUGAAAUGCGUAGAGAUCUGGAGGAAUACCGGUGGCGAAGGCGGCCCCCUGGACAAAGACUGACGCUCAGGUGCGAAAGCGUGGGGAGCAAACAGGAUUAGAAACCCUAGUAGUCCCA
rnacentral:rRNA from 1 species